CUAACACAUGCGAGUCGCACGACGAGUUGCCGUGACGCUUCUGACCCAACUCACUGAAGUCCCAACGCCUUCGGGCAGCGGGACGGACGUGAUGCGGUGACGAAGCCGACCGGAUUUACACUCGGAGUGGCGAACGGGUGAGUAACGCGUGAAUAACCACCCCUUAGGUGGGGGAUAACCUUGCGAAAGCUUGGCUAAUCCUCCAUAUUUGUUGCUCCACAUAAGUGGAGUAAUGAAAGAUCCCUUGUGGAUCGCCAAAGGACGGGUUCGCGCCCCAUUAGCUAGCUGGUGAGGUAAAGGCUCACCAGGGCAAUGAUGGGUAGCUGGUCUAAGUGGACGAUCAGCCACACUGGGACUGAGACACGGCCCAGACUCCUACGGGAGGCUGCAGUGGGGAAUCUUGCACAAUGGUCGCAAGGCUGAUGCAGCGACGCCGCGUGGAGGAUGAAGGCCCUCGGGUCGUAAACUCCUACUCACAGGGAAGAAUAAGGACAUCAGGUAAUGGGUGUCCGAUGACAUUACCUGUGAAAUGAGCCCCGGCUAACUACGUGCCAGCAGCCGCGGUAAUACGUAGGGGGCAAGCGUUGUCCGGAAUCACUGGGCGUACAGGGAGCGCAGGCGGGCCGGUAGGUCUGAUGUGAAAGCCCCAGGCUUAACCUG
rnacentral:rRNA from 1 species